GGAAAGUUGGCUCAGAGGUUAAGAGCACUGACAGCUUUUCUAGAAAACCUGGGUUCAAUUCCCAGCAAUCCA
rnacentral:tRNA from 1 species